rnacentral:rRNA from 1 species
UGCCUGAUGGAGGGGGAUAACUACUGGAAACGGUAGCUAAUACCGCAUAACGUCGCAAGACCAAAGAGGGGGACCUUCGGGCCUCUUGCCAUCGGAUGUGCCCAGAUGGGAUUAGCUAGUAGGUGGGGUAACGGCUCACCUAGGCGACGAUCCCUAGCUGGUCUGAGAGGAUGACCAGCCACACUGGAACUGAGACACGGUCCAGACUCCUACGGGAGGCAGCAGUGGGGAAUAUUGCACAAUGGGCGCAAGCCUGAUGCAGCCAUGCCGCGUGUAUGAAGAAGGCCUUCGGGUUGUAAAGUACUUUCAGCGGGGAGGAAGGGAGUAAAGUUAAUACCUUUGCUCAUUGACGUUACCCGCAGAAGAAGCACCGGCUAACUCCGUGCCAGCAGCCGCGGUAAUACGGAGGGUGCAAGCGUAAUCGGAAUUACUGGGCGUAAAGCGCACGCAGGCGGUUUGUUAAGUCAGAUGUGAAAUCCCCCGG